rnacentral:rRNA from 1 species
GUAGGGAAUAUUGGGCAAUGGUCGGAAGACUGACCCAGCCAUGCCGCGUGGAGGAAGAAGGUCCUCUGGAUUGUAAACUCCUUUUUUGGGGGAAGAAUAGUUCUCUUGCGAGGGAAUGUGACGGUACCCUAAGAAUAAGCCACGGCUAACUACGUGCCAGCAGCCGCGGUAAUACGUAGGUGGCAAGCGUUGUCCGGAUUUAUUGGGUUUAAAGGGUGCGUAGGUGGUUUGAUAAGUCAGUGGUGAAAGCUGGUUGCUCAACAAUCAAGUUGCCAUUGAUACUGUCGGACUUGAGAGAAGUGGAGGUUCAUGGAAUGGAUGGUGUAGCGGUGAAAUGCAUAGAUAUCAUCCAGAACGUCGAUUGCGAAGGCAGUGGGCUGUACUUUAUCUGACACUGAGGCACGAAAGUGUGGGGAUCAAACAGGAUUAGAAACCCUGGUAGUCC